GCCAGGCAUACUGGCUCAUGCCUGUAGUCCUAGGUACUUGGGAGGCUGAGGUGGGAAAAUUGCUUGAGCCUGAGAGGUCAAGGGUGCAGUGAGUCAUGAUCAUGCCACUGCACUCUAGCUUGGGCAACAGAGUAAGACCCCGUCUCAG
ensembl:misc_RNA Metazoa_SRP Metazoan signal recognition particle RNA